UACGUGAAACCGUUCAGGGGUAAACCUGAGAAACCCGAAAGGUCGAAGGGGGAGAUUCAUCGCGUUUCAUGUGUUGGCGUCAGAUGGAUGUGUGACAAUUGGCGUACACGUCUAAUUGCACCUUUUAUUUGACAAUGCCAACAUUGAACGUGUGCACUUCUCCCCUGGUAGGACGUCGCGAUCUGUUGGGUGUCGGUCUAAGGCUUGCGGUGGAGCCCGUUGGCAGUGAUUCGUUGCUGCUUGCGGACCCGCAAUGUUUCCCGGCCGGCUCGCUCGACAGUGUACAGAUGGCGCAGAGCCGCGAUUUUCGCGUUCGGCCUAUGGCAAGCAUGCUUGGUUGUGUUGGUGAUCGGACCUAGUGCCGGUCCCAGCCUCCGGUGGCUGUUAGUCGUAGUGUUCUCGAACAGACUCUGUUAAUAUAGCCGAUCUGCGACGCUAUUGCUUUGGGUACUUUCAGGACCCGUCUUGAAACACGGACCAAGGAGUCUAGCAUGUGCGCGAGUCAUUGGGACAUAACUAAACCUAAAGG
rnacentral:rRNA from 1 species